rnacentral:rRNA from 1 species
GACGAACGCUGGCGGCGUGCUUAACACAUGCAAGUCGAACGGAAAGGCCCUGCUUUUGUUGGGUGCUCGAGUGGCGAACGGGUGAGUAACACGUGAGUAACCUGCCCUUGACUUUGGGAUAACUUCACGAAACUGGGGCUAAUACCGGAUAGGAGCUCCUGCUGCAUGGUGGUGGUUGGAAAGUUUCGGCGGUUGGGGAUGGACUCGCGGCUUAUCAGCUUGUUUGUGGGGUAGUGGCUUACGAAGGGUUUGACGGGUAGCCGGCCUGAGAGGGUGACCGGGCACAUGGGGCCUGAGAGAGGGACCAGAAUCCAACGGGAGGCAGCAGGGGGGAACAUUGCACAAUGGGCGGAAGCCUGAUGCAGCAACGCCGGGUGCGGGAUGACGGGUUUCGGGUUGUAAACAGCUUUCGCAGGUGACGAAGCGGGAGUGACGGUAAUGGGUAAAGAAGCACCGGCUAACUACGUG